AGAAAGAAUUUAUUUUUAGUCCUUAGGUAUGCACGAUCGAUGAAAAACAUACUAUUGUAAUUCCUUCCAUUCUUUAAAAACGAUUUCUUACAUUAAUUAGUGGCCAACUAACAAUUCACAUUUUGAUUUAUAUAGACAGAAAAGCCUUCUCUCUCACAGUCUGACAUUAUCUUUUUGCCACUUCUGGUGUAUAUAUACACAUUAAGUUCUCCUCACAUAAUCACCAUCUAUAUCACUGACUUUUUAAAACUUCUCUCAAAAGAUAAACUUACAAUCCUGAGUUUAUUAAAAUAAAAGUUAGUCGAUCAUCAUAACAUGGCGGCUUCUAGUAUGCAUUUUCUCUUCAUUUUUGCAUGUUUUGUUUGUUUGUUUCUUGUUCUGCUGUUAUAUCUAUUACAAAAGAAUGAUAUCAAGUUGUGAAGUUUAUCAUUUUGUUUCGCAUAAUUCUCUCCCUUCAAUUUUCUUCUGUUUCACGUCACCUUAGAAUGGAAUAAGUACACAUGCAGACUAUAUAAGUUAUUCUGAUAAAACACAUGGCAUCUGGUUUGGUUUUUCUUCUAUACGCACUCUGUAUAUGUUAUUUAGGCCAUGAGGUCUACGAUUCUCUUGUUAUAUAACAUUGUAAAGUCUACAUUAGAUGACCAUAAACAAAUCUUCUCAAUUUUCUUUGGCGGCUCUAUACCUUGUAUCAUACGUUUAUCUCGAAAUGUUACUGUGAAUGUUGCUUUUUGUCAUUUUUAUUAAAAUGUGGAAUAUAUAUUACUCUAAAACAUUUUGUUUGGUAUUAACAUUUCUGUUGCUAAAAUCUUCGCAGGUAGUAGUAGUAAUUCAAUUGGAACUGAAGAUGGAUAUGUUUUGGAGCCGCAAGGAGAGCAUAGAGUCACUAUAGUUUGGCUGCAUGAUGUGCAUGAAAAUAGCUAUAAGUAACACUAUAUAUCACGUUCCUUGUCUCAUAUCGUUGCAUAUAUUCCUUUGUCUUUAAGGAUCAAAGAAAUUUCUUCUAAUCUAAUUUAUCUGUUUUAUGUAUUAACCAUUCAAACUCCACUUUGUCUAUCUUAACUUAUUUGUACUUUUUUUUUGUGAAGAAACAUAUAUAUUUGUACUCAAAUUGUGCUUUUUCAUUGUGUAUCUGUUCUGUUUUCAGAUCACUUCAGAUUGUAAGAAGUCUAAAUCUUCGAAAUGUAAGUAUCAGUGAACAUAGAAUGCUAAUAAUAAACCAAUUAAAGCAUGGUUGUUUUAAUAACAUUGUACAAAAAAUAUUUUAUGCAUAGAUCAAAUGGAUUUGUCUGGAUUCUGGUACACGUGUUGAUGUAUUUUCACCUGGAGGUGGAGUGCCCACAAAUUCCUGUAAGAUCACUUGUGUUAUAUUUAUCUUUCCUUGCUCUAAAACUUCAAAAAAUACAUUUUUCAUUUUUUAUACAAAAAACCCCAAUAUUUGUGAGGUUAAACAAUUUAAAUAGUUGGCAAGACCCUCUUUGUUGAAUCAGGGUGCAACGUGGGUAUGAUUACCGAUACUACGCGCAAGAUUGUCGGGAUGAGUUAGAUUCUGCCGCUGUACGUGUUGCUAACAUUUUAUCGACAGAACCAGAAAAUGUCAUAAAAGGAGUAGGAGGUGUCGGCCAAGGUGCACAAGUAGCUCUGAACUUUGCAAAGUGGAACGCCGUUGGAGAUCAUACGAUGAAUAUGCGACUUGUAAUAGGGAUAAACUCUUGGUGUGUAUAUACUCUUCUAGUACUCAUGUUAAUAUUUAAUUAGUUAUUAUAACUAAAGUUAGAUAUAACAUGUUGACUUCACCCAGGAGAAUACCUACCAACAGGAUAGAUUAUGAUUUUGGGGCUGCAAUUCGUUCUUCAUGGCAGUCAAUCCUACUUAUACGUGGAAAUCGUAUGUGUAUAAUGUUAAUUUAUAUAUUUGUUUUUCGCAAUAGAUAGACAAGGAUCAUGAGAUAUAUAUAAUAAUAAUAAUAACUCUUUGUGAUUGUUUUGUGUUGCAGUCGAACCGAGUAUUCCUUUAUACUUUGCAAAAGAAACUGCUGUCUCCCUUAUAGAUGAUGGAUUUGGAGAAGUUUCGUUUGUACAAUUCCGAAUGUAUAAACAUACAUUAACGAUUUUACUUUGCUUUGUUCUACCAUUUUUGUUUGAACACUUUGUGUAAUUAGGUUAUGUCAUUGUGCAGGCUUGGUCGUGAAAUCACUGUGAACGUACUGAAAAAGGUCGAAGUCUGGUUGAACGGGAAGCUUCCACUCGAUCCAAACUAAUAUCAUCCAUGAACUGUUAUCUAUUUUUUUCAGUAUUUUCGUUGCGCUAUUUAGUGAACUAAUGUCGUUGAUAUUUUCAACAUUACUAAUAAAACUGCAUGAAACAGACUCUACAACUUAUGAUAUUUCCAUGAGAUUGUGUUCCUAUUAAUUUUUUUUUGACAAAAUGUGAAUUCAUUUCAAUAAGAAAUGGCAAAGAGGUACAAGCAAGCAUGAACCUAAAGCUGCAAUUAAGCAAAGUUCUAUCAAAGAGACCCCAAAAAAAGAUAAAAAAGCCCCUUCGAUACAAAAUAGGUUUAGUCUAAAUCAUAAGAAACAAACUAAAGCUAAACUAGGAGAUCAUAAGAUUAACUAUUGGCCAUAGGUAGACCAAGAAGCAACUAAUUCACUGUAAACUGCAAAUGAGAAGACUGGUCUUGGGUAUGGAUGGAAACGGAGCAAUCCCGGGGAUACUUUGACGGCAACAGGCGGAGGCGGAUUGACGAGCCGGCCCCGGCUAUUACACUAACAAUGAGACCAGAUCCAGCCAAACCAGAGACUUUGCGAAGGAGAAGCUGUGAGUCCAAACUAACAGAUGAAAGACACUCGAUGAAGAACAAGGGCUCUUGAGGAGGUAGGCGGAGGUUUAUCUCCCGACUCCGGCCACUUCCUCGGAGGAGAUAAUGCAUUUCAACCGUCAAAGAGGCAGCAACACCCACCCAAAGCUUCAUUCCCAGGCUUGAAGAACGGGAGCAGAAGCUCCAAACAAACACGGCAAGCGACUGAGGAUGCUGUAGAGUAACCGCAACGAAGGGUCUGAAACAGGGCCAGUCCCCGAAGCCCCAAAGAACCAACAAGCAGCAACAAGAAACAACACAUCCACGGAUAACCACCGUGAUAAGCUAACCCCACAAUCUUAAACAGAGGUUCUCAGUGGUUUCCUCCACACCACUUUCUCACAGAGAAGAGAAGCUCUGAACUUACCCGUGAGAUAAACCGACGGAGAUGAAGGAGCACGAAGCUAAUCGAAGACAUGAAGGAGGCAGCGACGCACCAGACUGCCAUCGACGCCUCAGA